UGAGUAAGGUAGUAGCUACACA
rnacentral:siRNA from 1 species